ACUUUCUUAGUAUACAUAGUACUGCUGACUUCCAAUCAGCAAGACCCACACAUGCUGGGAGAAAGUA
rnacentral:tRNA from 1 species